GGACUACAAGGGUAUCUAAUCCUGUUUGCUCCCCUAGCUUUCGCAGAUCAGAGUCAGUGAUGGUCCAGAAGACUGCUUUCGCCAUAGGUAUUCCUCCCGAUAUCUACGCAUUUCACCGCUACACCGGGAAUUCCAUCUUCCUCUACCACACUCCAGCCUGGUAGUUUCCGUUGACCUCUCCCAGUUGAGCCGGGAGCUUUCACAACAGACUUACCAAACCUCCUACCUGCGCUUUACGCCUAGUGAUUCCGAGUAACGCUUGCCACCUACGUAUUACCGCGGCUGCUGGCAC
rnacentral:rRNA from 1 species